rnacentral:rRNA from 1 species
CUCCUUCGCGACAAGGUGCGCGUGGACUUUCUCGACAGAACGCUCGAGCGUGGCGACACCAAGACUUUUGUCUGCUGGCUCUGGGCAUGGGAUGUCGCCCACAUUCCCACCAAGCACAUGCUAUGGGUGCUGCCGCGCGGUGCUGGAGUGAAGGAGAUGCAGGGCUUCUUGGCACCCAACCGCCGGGUGGCGCCGCCGCCCGGAGCAACGCGGUACGGCAUGCUCAUCCAUGUGGAUCGAGUCGAAGUUUGGUCCCUUCCUUCACGGACUUUCUGCUGA